CACGUAGUUAGCCGUGGCUUCCUCCUCAGGUACCGUCAUUAUCGUCCCUGAAGACAGAGCUUUACAACCCGAAGGCCGUCAUCACUCACGUGGCGUUGCUGCAUCAGGGUUUCCCCCAUUGUGCAAUAUUCCCCACUGCUGCCUCCCGUAGGAGUCUGGGCCGUGUCUCAGUCCCAAUGUGGCCGAUCACCCUCUCAGGUCGGCUACGCAUCGUCGCCUUGGUGAGCCGUUACCUCACCAACUAGCUAAUGCGCCGCGGGCCCAUCUCAUAGCGGAUUACUCCUUUAAUUGCUACUUCAUGCGAAGCUACAAUCUUAUGCGGUAUUAAUCUCCUUCGGAAGCUAUUCCCCUCUAUGAGGCAGGUUCGCCCGCGUGUUACUCACCCGUCCGCCGCUAGUCUUUGUUCCGAAGAACUCCACUCGCUCGACUUGCUAUGUGUUAGGCACGCCGCCAGCGUUCGUCCGUGACGUCCGAGGACUACAACUACUC
rnacentral:rRNA from 1 species